AGGAGGAUACACAAAAGCAGAAAGGAAAAAGGUUCCAUACGUUAAAGAGCCCAAAGGCCAGAAGCCAAUAUGGUCAGAAGUCCAUGGGAAGAGCUGAAGAGGAAUAGUGCACACUGAAAAAAGAGUGGAAGCCUCAAAGAAGAAAGGAAAACACAUCUAAACACCUACCAUGAUCUGCUGAAUUAUUGCUCCCCUUAUAACCCAAGUGUCAGAGCAGCUGAAGAAGAAAGAGGAGCCUUUUCCAAGGAUCAUCAUGUCUGUUAUCUAAGCUA